UCAUGCAGCUUGUCUUUGAAGCCCGGUUGAAUUCCGGAACACCCGGUGUGAUUGCCGUGGACGACUUCAUCCUAAGGGAUGGCCGCUGUGACAACGAAUUAUAUCGAACGUGCAAUUUCGAAUACGACACGUGCGGAUGGCAGUUGCACAACUGGGAACGUGUGACGCCACAAAGCGUAAGCCUGCCUAGUGCUGAUCACAGCACUAGGUCACCCUCAGGAAACUUCGCCCUGCUAAAGGCUCCCGGUGGCCGCAUGGUUAGCCCCCUGAAUUGGUACGACGUCACUAAGCACAAGUGUCUCCGAUUCUGGUUCUUUAUCUCGGGCACAUCGAGGGAAACACUGAACGUCACCAGUGUGGUGGACGAAGAUCAGGAGGAGUCUCUUUGGUACGGCACCACAUCUGAUGCUUUGAAGCAGCAGUGGUUCUCAGCCUCAGUUAACCUGCCUGCUGCCACAAAAACACCCACGAUCGUAUUCGACGCGGCGACCUCUGGCGACCUAGGCAGCGCAAGUAGCAGUGGACGAUAUCAGCCUGAGCCACACGCCGUGUCCUCCCCCGGCAAGCUGCUCCUUCGAGGAGGACAUGUGUAACUGGUACAAUGCAGGGGACCGCAACAAUGCGCAAUGGUAUCGACACCGAGGGGCAACCGUUUCCAAUUUGACUGGCGUCGAGAAGGAUCACACGCUAGGGCUCAAAAGAUGGAUACUACCUCCUCCUCGACGCUGAAGACACGUCAGCAAGAUCACUUGGAAGUGUGCAGAGUCAGGCUCUCACCUUAGGCCCUGCUGUGUGUUUAAGGAUGUACUACAUUAUGAGGCAGAACUCGGGAGCGUCGUUGAGUGUUGGAUUUCUGGAUGAGCGUCACUACUUGGACGGGCGAGCAACGACAGUGAAAGCCACCACACCGAACCAGUGGACUUUAUUCCAAGUGGAAAGAACCGAUCUCCCUCCCGUGUUCACAGUUAUAAUUACUGGCCGGACCCAAGAUGGUAGCAGUGAUGUCGUCAUUGAUGACAUCAACGUGCGCCCCGGCAAGUGCGAAAAGGCCCAGCCUGACACAGAAGCCCCCACACAUG
rnacentral:lncRNA from 1 species